AGGUUGUGAUGAGGGCAUUUUUUUAACAAGUCAUUAAAUCUCUCCCAUACUUUAAACAGUGAUUCAGUAUUCAACUGUGCAUAAGCUGUAAUAUUCUGGCGCAACAU